rnacentral:rRNA from 1 species
UACGAACCGUCCAAACGUUAUUCGGAUUUAUUGGGCUUAAAGGGUAUGUAGGCGGCGCUUCAAGUCGGGUGUGAAAGCCCUCGGCUCAACCGAGGAACUGCGCCCGAUACUGUGGUGCUUGAGGGAGACAGAGGUAAGCGGAACUGAUGGUGGAGCGGUGAAAUGCGUUGAUAUCAUCAGGAACACCAGUGGCGAAAGCGGCUUACUGGGUCUCUUCUGACGCUGAGAUACGAAAGCUAGGGGAGCGAACGGG